AUAACAAAUUCGUUUGUGACUGCCGAUUAAUCUGGAUGCACUCCUUGAGAAAUAAAACAAAAAAUCAGGUAAUCCGUGAAACGCUAGAUAAACUGACGUGCCAUUUAGAGAUGAAGGACGAUCACCACGAACCAACCACUUCCUUAUUUUCAACUAAAUCGGGAUCUGUCGGCACCACCCUACUUGACGACGGGGAUUCUCUGCUCAAUCCUCUUAAUUCAGCCGCUGGCUAUGACGAAUACGAUGACAAUUUAGUAUAUUAUGAUGACGAAGAUGAUUACCAGCAACAGCAGAGCUCUCUGCAGAAUCAGGUGACAAUUUCACAGCCGGACGAUCCGCAUCUACGCCACUUAUUUCAAAUUCCCAUUUCCGAAUUACCGUGUGUAGAUGAGACAAAGCCCUCCACGCAGGCCCCCAGGACAUCGUUUGUCAAUACGCCCGCUUACGCUGAAAUAAAUGCCAGUAGAUGCACAACGAUUAUUGGCAACUUUCCCACAGUUUUGUCGCUUUUCAUUAUCGCAUUUCUGUGCGUAACGUAAAUUUUAUGCAAGUUGUAGAACUUAAUUUGUCGUUACGAUCGCCUUCAAUGAGAGAAGUGUAUUUUAAUUAACGAUAUAGUGAAAUAAGGAUGAUCGUGUUUUACUAACUUAUGUAAUUGAAAAAUGUGACUUUUCUUCAUUUUGCAACCGUCCUAAUGUUACCCGGAAAAGUUGCGCUGUUAAACCAAAUUGCGACUUGGCGUGAACAUUCGUCAUUCGAUCGCUAAAGCAAAACGCUUCGGUCACACAGAACGCACGGCUGUUGCUCGUAGGCGUUCUAAAUGUAAAUCGUGAAAAUUUUUCUGCUUUAUUUAUUAAUGUUCAUUCAUGAUUAUUUUGUUAGCACGUUCCUAGCUUGAUAAUAGGCUGUGAUGUUUUGAUUUUCACCUUUUAUUCCCGUUAUGUACGUCAAGCAUAAAUUUGGUUGUCAUUUGGACACUCAUAAGGGCGUGAGCUUUUACGUUUAAUAUUAUAAAGGCUAAAUGAAAUAAACAACGAACGUCAAUUUCCUCGUUUACGUUUCAUUCGGCAACGUAAUUUAAACCAAAUGGUCCAAAUGCAGUAGUUGUAACGAGACUUCCCUGUAUAUUUACUUCAAGACCUUGUAAAUAUGCCAUAUUGUUCAUUUUGUACGGAAUUGAACUCUACUAGAAACCUCCCUGCGCGAUUCAUCUUGUAUUCAUACUGGAUCCAAUCCCAAUAUACACCAUGCGAAGUGAUUACGCUCCAGUGGAAUGUCUGCGCUUACUUUCGGUCCAUUUUGGAAUUGGAUGGAUGCUGUACUAUGAUUCGAAGCAAAAAGGUUCCUUUUAUAAGUAUUAACGUAGGUACGCAAAUUGGAUUUUUCGAUAAAGAGUUUCUACUCAGUUGUAAAGAAAUGUGCCAUGCCCACAAUCUAUUAACAGUUGUACAGCAGCAACAGGCAGUUAUUGUACAUAGUUAGGGGUAGGAAGGAUAAUUUGUAGAUAUAUGUUUAUACGUUUUGCAGAUACGAGUGCAUUCCGGAUGGUAACUCUUUUUUAGGCGAUCCAAUCGAAGGUAUCAUUUUGUGGUUAUCAAAUUGAGUUUGCAGCUUAUUUUAGUAUAAUUUGUACAUAACCAAUUUUAUUUACGCUUAGCAGCAAUAUUUGUAUAAAUAAAUUUAUACAUAAUCUACAUAAAUUUACAUUACUAAUACUCGUACAACUGAAUUUGUUUUACAUGCAAAUGAAUUUAUUAAUUAUGUUGCAAAUUGAUUUAUUAUUAACAAAACUUCUGCGUUUAAUUUCGCAUACUAUCUAAUGGAAGCAAUACCCGUUAUGCUCAUGAAAAAACAUGGUUCGUAAAUACAAAGCGACUGAAAGUUACCAAUAUGUCUUUGUGUUAUUGUUAUAAAUGAUACACAAAUAAUCCUCUGCACAAUUGCAUAUCAUCAACUAUAUACCAAUACUUACGUUACAUAUACAUAAAUGUUUUAAUUAAUGUUUUUCAUGGCUGUUAUUGAGUCUGCAUUGCAAUUUUAAUAGUAUAUUAAUGUACGUACCCCCAAUUCUCUUUAUGACUAUAGUUAAAAACUAGUUAAAAUAAGAAUUACAUUUUGUAAAAUAUUGAAAUUACGAAUUAAGUGUAUUUUUAAAAAUUGUCUAGUAUUACAUGACUAUUGUCUGUAAAAUGCACUAUUUAUACAACUUAUAUCUUCACCAUAUUUUUGUAAUAAGAUGAAAAAGUUUGUGUUUGUGUAAUUUACUAAUAUAAUUGGAUAGAUUUAAAUGAUGUGAUAAAGUAAUAUUUAUUGUAUAUUUUUGUCAUUAAUAUGAAUAUUGUUUUCGCUCACCGUCCCCCUCACAAAACCCUCUCAAAUAUUUUUGAGAUAUAUAAGCUUGAUUUCAAUUACACAUCAGUGACUUUGUGUUAGCUCAUUGUGUAUUGCAAUUUGCAAGAUACCCAAAGUGUUUUAUAAUAGAUAAAUAAUUGUUUCCUAC